UCCGUGUUGACCACGGCAGUCUCCUACGAGUCCCCGGCUUUACCCGCUGGCAACAUAGAACGAGGGUUGCGCUCGUUGCGGGACUUAACCCAACAUCUCACGACACGAGCUGACGACAACCAUGCACCACCUGUGAACCGGCCCCAAAAGGAGAAACCACAUCUCUGCGGCGGUCCGGUCCAUGUCAAGCCUUGGUAAGGUUCUUCGCGUUGCAUCGAAUUAAUCCGCAUGCUCCGCCGCUUGUGCGGGCCCCCGUCAAUUCCUUUGAGUUUUAAUCUUGCGAUCGUAGUUCCCAGGCGGUUCACUUAAUGCGUUAGCUGCGGCACCGAGGCAAAGCCCCAACACCUAGUGAACAUCGUUUAUGGCUAAGACUAC
rnacentral:misc_RNA from 1 species